ensembl:lncRNA
CCCGGCCUUUCUCCCUCUAACACCUUCUCUUUAACCCAAAACCAGCUUCCUGACCUUUUGAGCUCAUUCCCUAUCCACUUAGAACAGCUCCCUGUUCUCCUAAACCUAUGCCCCUCUAAAUCUUUCUUUAUCCAUUAUCUACCCUCUCUUCCUUCUUAUGACACUCUACCUGUCCCUGUCAUCGCCACUACUCCCUCUCUCUCGCCUACUUCCUGGUGUGUGCACCCAUUACCACCCCCCAGUCUAUAAAAAUGCAGGCCACAGGGAACGGAAACAAAAAAAAUUAAUACUCAGAAAGUGCUUGGAGCGGUGGCUUGCACUUGACUCUAGAAGUUCCUGGUACUACCAUCAUGAAGAAGAAGGAGGAGGAGGAGGAGUUGGAGUCAGAAUCUACUACCUUAAAAAAGUGACAGGCCCAAGAGAUUUUGCAGGUCUGAAAAGGUGACGGAGGUAUGAGACUAAAGGUUUUCUGGGAAUCCACAAGGAGCCCAACCUUCUCCCGGGAGAGAGAUGAGUGAAACAAGAAGAGAAGGAGAACACAGAAGUCCUGAGAGGAGAAAGAAUACGAACCUAAAACAAAACAAACAACCACUGGCAUCUCAGGAAAGG